rnacentral:rRNA from 1 species
UACGGAGGGUGCAAACGUUGCUCGGAAUCAUUGGGCGUAAAGCGCACGUAGGCGGCUCGCUAAGUCGGAUGUGAAAGCCCCGGGCUCAACCCGGGAAGUGCAUACGAAACUGGCGAACUUGAAUAUGGAAGAGGGUCGCGGAAUUCCCGGUGUAGAGGUGAAAUUCGUAGAUAUCGGGAGGAACACCAGUGGCGAAGGCGGCGACCUGGGCCAAUAUUGACGCUGAGGUGCGAAAGCGUGGGGAGCAAACAGG